rnacentral:sRNA from 1 species
UUGCCAGCAGUGAUUUGCAGGGGGGGGAU